ACGCUCUCGUCAGGAAAGUCACUGAAAUCACUGAUCUUCCGGUUUUCUACUAUGAGUUUGACUACCACAUAGACAGCGUCAGCUCUUCAGAAUGGGGUGCCCCGCACUCUAGUGAUUUGCCUUUCCUUACGAUGCUACCCUAACUUCGUCAAGUAUGGAAACCCUAUCCCAGAAGCUGAUCCGGUGGUCUGGGAGCCUUACAACAACUCCACUCGCAGCUAUAUGCUCAUGAAGGCCACCUUCACACUUUCGCAUGACAAGGAUGCAGAACGCAUGGACUUCUGGGUA